UUCUUUUAAUUUAUUGGCUCUAAACAUGGUGCAGGAUCCAAGGGAGAUGCUUGGAGUCAAGGUCAGAAGUGAAGCCUGAGCUCUCAGUGAAGCCUUCAGAGGAUAAAGCUGUUUAGAUCAGGUCAAAAGCUGCCCCAACACCCUGAUAAUACACCUGGUCGUUCCUGUGAUGGGAAGUAAACGGAACUGGGAGAGGGCGGUGAGAUGUUACUGGGAGAAAAGAGGCCUCCGUGCCUUAUGUAAGUCGUGUUCCAAAUACACGCUUCUGAAUAAGAGAUGGGCAGUCUAUAUCGCAGUUCCCAGGCACUGCAUGGCAUCACCAUAUCAAGAAAGUCCCUUUAGACUCCUCCAAGCCUUCCUGUCUCUGACUUCACUUACACUUCUCUGAGGCCCUGAAGGGCUAGGAUUCCUGAGAAAUGAAUUUGGGUCCCAGAAAUAUCUACAUUCAGGAAAAGAGGAAAAAUGCUACUAAGAUGGCUCCCCAAGGUAAACCAAUCUUCCAAAAUUAAUGAAUUGAUGGAAUCAUCACUUUGUUUCUAAAAUAAUCCAGGAAUGCAAUUUCUUCACUUCUGUUGCAGAUAGAAGUUAAAAAAAAAAAAAAAAAAAAAAAGACUGAGGGCACCCACAUACCUUGACAAAAGCAAAACUUUCCAUUGAUUCUCCUGAUUUUCUCCCCUAUCUUACAAGCUUAGCUUUGAAUCCUUGGAGAAGCUGGAGGUCAGUGGAACAACGUGGCAAAAUGGAGAGACACUGGUGUUGAAGUUGGGAGACCCUGGAUCCAGUUCCCACUCUGCCUCUGACCGGCUUUGUGACUUGUGACAAGUUACUGACCUUCUCCAUCUGGGUUUCGUCUUGUAUGAUGCACGUGUGCAGAACCUUUAUGUACGACAGACAGGCUGCUUCAGAAGCUGGUGACCUAUUGGUCACCAUCAGGAGAACCCCGAAGCCUGAUUGGCCACUUGGUGGGCCUAAGGACUAGCGUUUGUCUAAUGUUUUCAGAUGUCAUGAGGCUCUCUCAAUAGGUGUCACUUCAUACGGUGACCAUGACAAUCCAGUCAAGGAGAUAUCUCCAUCCCCAUUGUUAAAGACCAGAUGGGAGAACAAAGUCCCUUGGCCAAGCUCAUGGCGCAGCGAUCAGAGUGGGUCCAUCAGGCGUAGUGUGUCUCUGAUCACGGCCACCUUCACUUCUUCAUCGACAAGGCUGGGGACAUUUUCAAAGACCCCCGGAGAAAGCUUGAAUGGCUGCUCACCAACUCGUGUACAUUCUGCCUCCUGAAGAGCUUUCCAGAGCUGGCCCAUCCUCACCGCUCCUGGCCUAGAUCAGG